UGACGGUACCUGACUAAGAAGCCCCGGCUAACUACGUGCCAGCAGCCGCGGUAAUACGUAGGGGGCAAGCGUUAUCCGGAUUUACUGGGUGUAAAGGGAGCGUAGACGGAGAAGCAAGUCUGAUGUGAAAGGCAUGGGCUCAACCCGUGGACUGCAUUGGAAACUGUUUUUCUUGAGUGCCGGAGGGGUAAGCGGAAUUCCUAGUGUAGCGGUGAAAUGCGUAGAUAUUAGGAGGAACACCAGUGGCGAAGGCGGCUUACUGGACGGUAACUGACGUUGAGGCUCGAAAGCGUGGGGAGCAAACAGGAUUAGAUACCCUG
rnacentral:rRNA from 1 species